rnacentral:tRNA from 1 species
GGCCUAUUAGCUCAGUUGGUUAGAGCGUCAUGCUAAUAACGCGAAGGUCGCAGGUUCAAGACCUGCAUGGGCCA